AGACCAGUGAAAUUAAUUGUUGGUGAUAAUGGAAGAAAGAAUUUCCACAAAAUGCCUGUCACCAUGAACAAGAUUGUAUUGAAUACUAUUUUCAACUGGUAUACAAGUAUCAUGACAUCACCAAUUUAUUAAAAACAUAUCAUGGUAUUAAGAUGUGUGUCCGCUCAUUAAAAAGAAAACUACAAAAAUAUAAC